rnacentral:rRNA from 1 species
CCUACGUGAGGCAGCAGUGGGGAAUAUUGCGCAAUGGGCGAAAGCCUGACGCCGCGACGCCGCGUGAGGGAUGAAGGUCUUCGGAUCGUAAACCUCUGUCAGCAGGGAAGAACGGUCACUGUGCUAAUCAGCAGUGAAUUGACGGUACCUGCAAAGGAAGCACCGGCUAACUCCGUGCCAGCAGCCGCGGUAAUACGGAGGGUGCGAGCGUUAAUCGGAAUUACUGGGCGUAAAGCGCUCGUAGGCGGUAUGUCAAGUCAAGGGUGAAAUCCCCGCGCUCAACGUGGGAACUGCCUUUGAAACUGGUAAACUGGAGUGUGUGAGAGGAUAGGGGAAUUCCAGGUGUAGGAGUGAAAUCCGUAGAUAUCUGGAGGAACAUCAGUGGCGAAGGCGACUAUCUGGCACAUAACUGACGCUGAGGAGCGAAAGCGUGGGUAGCAAACAGGAUUAGAUACCCCAGUAGUC